CGGAAGUUUACGAGUUCUUGGUUGGUUCGUACCGUGUCUUGUCCUCCCUUUCAAGAGUUGAAACUACGUAAAAGUGGUUCAGUGACACAUGGCGUCGAAAUGCAUUCAUCACAAACGUUUUAUUACGGCCUGGUCACUCUUGGACACAGGUCUAACUCUGCAGGAGGCGAUAGAUCUGUUGCGGGAGAUGUCCACAGCACACGCUGAUAUCAUGGCGAUUCUGCAGGCCAGCGUCAACGAACCGCAGGAAAUAUGUCUCCAAAACCUGACUUCUCAGACCCCGACAGCUACCCGCCCCUGUAGCGUCCAUCGAACUGAAGAAACUGGAAGCGAAGGAGCCAGCCGUGUAGCUCAGAAACACGUGGACCAAGAUAUACCUGACUGCCAGGAAGAGGAGCUUGUUCCGGUUAGUAGCCGGACCAGAUUUGGACGCACUAACAAACAACCUGAACGUUACGCACCAUGACUGUGUGCACUGGGCAAUUCUGUGGCGCCCCCUACCGCACUUUUUAUCUGUCUAUGAUGCCUUGCCGAAUACGUGCUGCCUCGCUUAUUUUGUCAAUAAAGAAGUGUCACGACUACCUGA